UGGGCGUCGGCAAGGUGGGAGCUGGGGUUUGGAACUGAGAAGGGUUUAAAUACUACUUUACAGCUCCUACCGCUCGGCACCUAGACCUUCGGCGUUGAUAAAUUGUGGCAAGGCUUCUGUGAGCACACCUUCAGUACAGUGGUUUCCUGUGUCGAAUUUUUGAGGACAUAGCCACUUUCAGCAAGGCUACUGAUCGACAGAGAGUGGAGUAAGGUCAAUUUUACAGGGUUGAUCUUCCCUUGCUUUUGGAGCUGGGUUCGGCAAGGAGAAUUUUAUGAUUCUUCCGUCUCUUCUACAGGGUUUUUAGAAGGAGGAAAGAAUGAAGCAUCCUUGAUCUGAGGUUGGCUGAUUCGGUAGGGCCUUCGCAAGUCACUUGUGAGCUUAUUUUCGGCAGGUAGCUUUUCG
rnacentral:lncRNA from 1 species